UACUAUAGCUUGACACUGAACAUUGAGCCUUGAUGUGUAGGAUAGGUGGGAGGCUUUGAAGUGUGGACGCCAGUCUGCAUGGAGCCGACCUUGAAAUACCACCCUUUAAUGUUUGAUGUUCUAACGUGGACCCGUGAUCCGGGUUGCGGACAGUGUCUGGUGGGUAGUUUGACUGGGGCGGUCUCCUCCUAAAGAGUAACGGAGGAGCACGAAGGUUGGCUAAUCCUGGUCGGACAUCAGGAGGUUAGUGCAAUGGCAUAAGC
rnacentral:rRNA from 1 species